GCGACCCCAGGUCAGGCGGGAUCACCCGCUGAGUUUAAGCAUAUCAAUAAGCGGAGGAGAAGAAACUUACAAGGAUUCCCUUAGUAACGGCGAGCGAAC
rnacentral:rRNA from 1 species